rnacentral:lncRNA from 10 species
UUACAGGCGUGAGCCACCGCGCCAGGCCUAUGAAUACAAUUAUUUUAAAGCUUUUAAUUUUUUUUUUUUUUACUUUAAGUGCCAAUUAUAAAAUAAAGUCACUGUCUAGUUGGACCAGGCAUCUACAGUUCUGUAAAUCUGGCUUCCGCUCUGCCCCCUGGUGGUGGCCUAACGCCUAGAAAAAGUAACGAACUAUUUAAGGUAUUUCUGGAAACCGAGGGGGUGGUGACUCAGCGUCAUUUACAUACCCACAAUGCACUGCACACAGACCACGUCCUACUUUAAAAGGAGAUUCUCCCUUUUUUCCCCCUCUUUUCCUUUACCAUAAUAACGAAGCUCCUUUCACACAAUCGUCUGAGACAAAAACAGAAGUCACUCUUUUGGGUUAAUAGUAACCAUUGCUAAUCUAGUAGUGACCGUCCCCCGAGGACUGUGUGCAACCAUUCCAACACAUGCUCUGGUUUCUCUUCAAAUCGUAUAAAUCUUUCGCCUUUUACUAAAGAUUUCCGUGGAGAGAAACCGUUUUGAGUUUCAAGCAAAUUUUUUGAAGCCCUAUGUUGGUGGGGUUCAUCAACGGUGUUUAAAAAUCAGAUAGAAAGUUGUGUGUUUGUUGCGAGGUGUGAGACAACAUUUUGUUUGAACAUUUAUUUUGGGCUGUUGUAAUGGUGUGAGUGUGCGUUUUUUAUUUUUUUGGAAGUGGGGUUUUAGACUAGACUGUAGUGAGCAAUCUUUGCCUGCCGGCUUCAAGGGAUUUUCCUGCUUCAGUCUCUCAAGUAGCUGGGGCUACAGGUGGCAACACCAUUCCCUGUUAGUUUUUGUAUUUUAAUAGAGAUGGGGAUUUCCCACAUUGGCCAGGCUGAUCUGCCCGCCUUGGCCUCCCAAAGUGCUGGGAUUACAAGCAUGAGCCACCGUGCGAAAAUUUGGUUUUGUUUUGUGGUUUUGUUUUGUUUUGUUUUUAAUUAAUUUAUUCUAGAAACGGUCUCACUGUGUCACUCAGUCUGGAGUGCAGUGGCACGAUUAUAGCUCACUGCGGCCUUAAACUCCUGGCCUCAAGUGAUCCACCCACCUCAACCUCCCGUGAGCCACCGCUUCCCGCUUGGCCAGUUUAGUUUUUAAAGGGUUUUUUUUUUUUUUAAAUUAUGAUCACUUUAGCCCAGUGGUUCCUAGAUUUUUGGAUUUCCCAAUUAUUAAAAUUUCCGAAAAAGUUCUGGGGUACUAUUUUUUUACCAUUAUACAAAAGAAAACAUUUCAAGACUAAAAACUAAAACCAAACAAUGACCAAAAAUAAAAAGAAAAAAAAGACUAAAAACUAAAAAUGACUUGAUCUCUCAGCCUGACGCGGUGGACGCGGUGGCUCACACCUGUAAUCCCAGCACUUUGGGAGGCCAAGGCGGGUGGAUCACUUGAGGUUAGGAGUUCAAGACUAGCCUGGCCAACAUGAUGAUAUCCCGUCUUUACUAAAAACACAAAAAUUAGCUGGGCGUGGGCAUGGCGGCAGGCGCCUGUAAUCCCAGCUACUUGGGAGGCUGAGGCAGAGAAUCGCUUGAACCCAGGAGGCGGAGGUUGCAGUGAGCCGAGAUUGCGCCACUGCACUCCAGCCUGGGAGACAGAGUGAGACUCCGUCCCCA